GGUUAUGGUUAUGCUCGGUCAGUUGCCUUCCUCUCUUUGCUUGCCACAAAAAGGAACGUAUAAAUUGCAUUUGCGGCGCUCGCGUUGCUCGUAACAAAUACCCGUACACAACGUUCCGGAAAUUGCGCAGCACGGCCAAGUGCAGACGGACAAAGACCCGCCGGAAAGUGUCCUUUGUGCGCGCAUGUGUGUGUAUGUGUGUGUUACUGAGUUUUCUGUUUUGGCAAUGAUUUGGUUUAUGAAUCGCCAGCAGAAAAUGCACACUCAGACGUUGACUUGGCUGAUUCGUGUGUGUUGUGUGGAAAUUAUUAAGUCAGAAUUCAGGCGAGCAUCUCUUUUAUAAGGAUAUAAACUUUGUUGGUCUGAGAGCACGCGCUUUGCCUUGUGCAAUGCAAUAUUUGACUCCACUCAGCAGAUUCUCACAGCUACAGCUAUACUCAAAUUCAAAUUAAAUAGUAUGCAUUUUAUUACAUUUAUUAAAGUAAAAUACCCUCAAAAUGUUUUGAGCUUUAAUAAAUAUGCUCAAUUGCACAUGAACAGCAAUUAUAGAUCAAACAACUUUUCUAAGUCUGGGAAAAUAUCUAUGUGUCUCUGAUAUCGAUAAUAACUAACUAAACGAACUAAAAUCUGAAGGAUUUGUAGUGAUAGGCAAUCGGGUAUUGGAAUUCAUUGAGUAUGUUCCUUUGAAAUUGAAUUGAAUUGAAAAUCGUAUUUAAAGUAAAUAGAUUAUUUUUGUGUCAGUCCCCAAAUUCCUACAGUUUUUUAGGAUUAUCUCAAAAUAUUGUAAUCUAUCAGCUAAUCUUGCAUUUAAUUGCAUAUCCCACAUACUUUACUAAGUGGAAAUUCUUUUGCAAUUUAUAAGAAAAAGACCUGACUAAGCGAAUAUUAAAGUUUGUUCUGAGUUUUUGCAAAGUGUUUGCAUUCCGUUUUCUUAUUCUAUUAAUUUGCACACACACGCAAAAGUUAUGUUUAAAUUCCAUGCAAAUUUGAAGCUUUCUGGCAGGUCGAAAGGCGGCAACAGCGUGUGCCAAAUGCACUUUAAGUGUUAUAUUAAAAGUUUUAUGCAUUUCAAAGUAUGGCAAUUGUUUCGAAUUUCAAAGAUCUUCAAUUUCUAAUUUGGCUUUCCUUGAACCGCAAAUUGUGCACUCUCUAGACAGAGACCUUCCUUUUGGCCAAGCCGUUAGCAGUAUGUGCAGUCAUCUGGUUCGCUUUCGGGGAAAUCCAUUCGUAAUUCAAAUGCAAAUUUUUGGCAAAGGAAAAGUACUUUCUUUCGCCAAGGCUGGACAAAUUUUUGUGGCAAUAAAUUCUGAAACAGCUGCGUUCAACUGCUCUUCCGUUCCCACCGUGAAAUGAAACGCACCUUGGCAUUAUUCACUGGCAGCCAGUUGGAGUUGAUGCCGCUCUGCUCCUUGAACUGUCCCUCGAAUGUGUCGGCGAUGUCCUGCGGAUUACAAAAUUGAGAUGCGAGAGAAAAAGAGAGAGAAAAGGAGAAAUACACAAGUUAAAAGCUGGCCAUGGGAAAGUUUCCGGAAUAUAUUUGAAAUGCGCAUGGUUAACACCUUUUAAGAGGCUCCAGAUAUUUUUCCCUGAGCUGUUAGGCAUAUGCAUCAUGACUUUGAGAAGCUUUUUGUUCGGUUUACUGGCAAUGCAAAGCUGUAUCAAAUAUUCAGUACGUGCAUAACGCAAAGGGACGAGAGGACGUCUGAAAAUAGUAAAGGACAGCCAACAGGCGGGCAGUCAAAGCUGUCACGUCUAUUCGGUUAAUGGAAGUCUGUCAUAUGAAAAUCGAAGCGGCGAGCGCUUGAAAUAUGCAAAAGGCAAACGCACGCAAUAUGACGUCGCUGUCCUUGUUGCAGGACACUGAAAUACAUCGAACAGCAGCGAGAAACUCACAGCGACUCAAUGUGAGUCACAGAAGCACAAUCAGACUUAAUUCAAUUCAAGUGGCCAGCAUUUCGCUAAUACUGAGCUCACAGAGGCACAAUAAUAAUCAUAACAGAGCGGACAUU